UAAGCGGAGGAAAAGAAACCAACAGGGAUUGCCUCAGUAGCGGCGAGUGAAGCGGCAAAAGCUCAAAUUUGAAAUCUGGCGUCUUUGGCGUCCGAGUUGUAAUUUGAAGAAGGUAUCUUUGGGCCCGGCUCUUGUCUAUGUUCCUUGGAACAGGACGUCACAGAGGGUGAGAAUCCCGUGCGAUGAGAUGACCCGGGUCUGUGUAAAGUUCCUUCGACGAGUCGAGUUGUUUGGGAAUGCAGCUCUAAGUGGGUGGUAAAUUCCAUCUAAAGCUAAAUAUUGGCGAGAGACCGAUAGCGAACAAGUACAGUGAUGGAAAGAUGAAAAGAACUUUGAAAAGAGAGUGAAAAAGUACGUGAAAUUGUUGAAAGGGAAGGGCUUGAGAUCAGACUUGGUAUUUUGCAUGCUGCUCUCUCGGGGGCGGCCGCUGCGGUUUACCGGGCCAGCAUCGGUUUGGAGCGGCAGGAUAAUGGCGGAGGAAUGUGGCACGGCUUCUGCUGUGUGUUAUAGCCUCUGACGAUACUGCCAGCCUAGACCGAGGACUGCGGUU
rnacentral:rRNA from 1 species